rnacentral:lncRNA from 1 species
UAUAUACAUGUAAACAGUGUAUAGUGCCUCUAAAAUUUAUGGACAGUUUAAUUUCAUCUGAAUCUUCUCUCAAGUAUUUUUUACUCGAGCUUUGUAUCAUGCUUCUUUUCACUUUAUAUGAUGCAAACAAAUCUUCAAAUAGAAAAUUUAAGGAAGGGUCUUAUAAUAUAGGAUAAAAGAAUGCAUAUUUCAUAAGUUAAAUUUUAUUGUCAAACAUUUACAAAAUAUAAAAAUAAAUGAUUUUAAAGAAAAUCUCUUAAAUCAUUUUUAUUCAUACAAUAUUCAGUUACCCAAAGAAAUUAUUGAGAUAUUUGUUGCAACGUCUACAGAAUUCUGUAAUUUCUCCAGAUUAUUGAUGAAUUGCUUUAUAACAUCUGAAAAAAAUUUAACGGUUAAUAUCUGAUGAUCAAGCAACAUAAAAGCAUUUCCACAUUUUAUCUGUUUGUAUGAGAAAUGGUCUUGUAACUAUUGUCUAAUUGCAACAAUGAAAUAUGCAAUAACUCCAUUAUUUUGGAAUCAUUUUGUCUUUGUCUAGGCAGGAUAUCUUCAAUAGUGCUGACAUUCAUUCUUCAAGAAAUUUAAAUAGGUUAAGCAAAGAAGCAAUAUGAAAAAUGAAAAGAAUCGAUAUUAUUUGUAUCAUCAAGGAUAUCAGCCCAGAAAUUUACCAUAAACUAUCUUCACCAUAAGCUGAAGAUAUAUUAUUUAAAUAUUUUUGUGUGUCUACCAAUAACUACUGUUAUAAUUAAAGAUGUCACUGCAUGUGAAUGUGCAUUCAUCAGUGAAAAAAAUUUUACUCAAAAAUCAUGACCAUUGUUACAUUUAUGUAGAAAUUAAGUACGGAACUACAAUCAAGAGACAAGUUUGUGAGCAAUUAGUUGUGAAAUAACCUAGAAAUGGAAAGAGCAUGAAUGUUGUGCAUAAUGUUUUAUGUACAACAUUCUUUGACAUCCCAGCAACUGUAUUCUAGUCUUGCUGACAACCAUCUUAUACUUAUUUCAUUAAGUUGCUAUAUAUAUACAUACAAUAUUUUUUUCUUUAUUUUCAACAAUGUACAUGACAAGGAGCUGAAAUUUGUAGAUAUAGGAACAAAUAUCUACAGUUCUUGGUAUCAACUGUCUGUUUUCAUCAAGUUAUUAAUACAUAAUAGUAAAUAUCUUGAAAUUAGGAGUAAAGCAAUUUGGAAAGAUUUUUAAAGAUUUUUAUUUUUGUGUGUUUCUUGAUUGUUACAUUAUCAAAUGCAAAGUGUGUAUGCAUACUUAAUAAAAAUAAAAUGCAUUGCUAACUUGUAGUUUAGUACUGCAUAAAUAUAUAAAGAAAAAUAUGAGUGUUUUAUUAUUAAAACUAGAUACAGUUAUCCCUCGGUUUACACACACAUACUGAUUAUGAAUUUUCACUUUAAUGAACUGUACAAAAAUAUAUGUCUUUUUUUUAUUACUUGUGAAUAUAAUUUUCAUUUUUGCAAAGAAAUGAUUUCGUCAUUGAUCAAUUAUCCAUUGCAAUUUGUUUAACCCAAUGAGGUCCAUUGAUAUAUUUACAUGUCAAGGAAAUGGAACAAAAAACAAUAAAAAAAUUCAAUUGAUUUAAU